CUUCGAAAAGAAGAUGAUUCACAUAAUAAUUUUGAACAAAGUCAAUGCUUCAUCACUUAACAAAUGGAUUGCUCCCUCUAUGAUCGAAUCAGAUUGUUAGAUUCCUGCAACUUUUAUGAACUUCCUCUUGUAUUCUAUAAAAUACUGAACUUGGUGAUACAACGGAAUUGCGAUGAUGUUUCGAACAAGAUGCUUGAUUAUCACUGAGUUUCUCUAGGUCUGGUGAUUUUGUUGUUGUUCUUGUCGAUGAUCACUGGAUUCUAAACUUUGUUUCAUCUCCAGUGCUUUCAACCUGGCUAUUUGAAGCUUGUACAAGAUCUUAACAAAAAGAAAUUCCAAUAAAAUGAUCAUGGUUUGCUUCGUUUCUAUGAGCUUUUAAUAAAUAAAAUAGGAACUCGAGGUUUUAAUCGGCAGCUUAGGCUUUCACCUUCUGCAUAUUUUCUCAAGCUGCUGUCUUUGGUUCCUAUCUUUGCAAUCUGUAAGCAAUCAUACAAAGAAAAAAAUGAAAGAUUCAUGGCUGUUCUAAGAUCAUUUUUGCUCUUUUAUCCAUUUUUACUUCUCACAUCACAUUUACAAGGAUUUAUUUUUACAAGACCUGCUCUAAUUUCAACCACAGAAACAACCAUAGAAUGACCUGAGUAGUUAAGUUAUUGAGGAGACUAAAGACGAUUAUUGUUAAUACAACUCUUCUGGGCUCAUAUGGGUAGCUAUAUCUCAACCAACAUUACACUGCCGUCGUCAUCUCUCACUCCUUUGUAUUCUCUGCUUUCGCCUCUACACUGAUGUCUUUUAUGAAGUGAUGAAGUUACUUAACCCAUCAAAUCAAUCCACCUCAUGUUAUGUCCUAGAUUUUAGUCAGCUUAUUUCUUCCUAAAAUAGUAAUGAAGUCCGUAGUAAGCUUUGUUUCGUCCUUUCCAAAUAAAUCAAUCUUAGGAUAAAAAUCAAUACCUAAUGAAAACGAUGGUGGCUUGAUUUGGAGAGGAAGAGGAAGAAUCCUAAUGCGUUGAUGUGACGUGUACAAAAAAAUGUGAUGUGUAUGAACUUCAUUUUAGAAAGUUGUAAGAGUUUACAGACCCAAACAAUUUUAGUUAUUUUUUUAAAAGACUGAUACUUAAAUCUUACAAUACUAAAAGGGACAUAUGCUCAAAGGAGAGCAUAUCCACGUCAGAUCAAAAAAUCAGUCAAUCAUAUGCCAUUAACUUACCACAUCAGCUCAUUCUUUUUGUUAACACACAAUCUUAUCGUCUCUUCCUCAAAUAUUUGUCGGUGACUUUUCCUUUGCACUCUACGGCGUCGAAGAUAUUGUCUUCGCCGAUCGACCUCCCCACUAUCAAGAUCAAUAACUGUACCAUUCAACACAAUACCCUCUUCAAUUUCUUCCCUUUCCCCAACCUAGCUAUAUAUACGGUGAUAUUCAAGACCAAAGUUCCUCACAACGUUAUCCUCAAAAGCACCAGCGUGUUUAAGCUCCAAGGCUAAAGCACGACUAAUGAUAUCAGAUGGGAUGUGCACCUUUUCAUUUCAUCUUCAGUUCUGGUUGCUUCUUAAUUAAGUUCCACGAUUUGAACCCACCUACUGUUUCUUAUGCAGAUCAACCAUUGGGAUGAAGUUGUUGUCACAAACGACCUUCAGAUGGAUGAGGGCGAGGAUGAUAAUGAGGAAGAUGACCAAGAAGUAGAUCACCGAAAUAGAGCAAAUAAAAAUGUCAUCAGCUGGGAUGUUGGGUUAGUGUACGCGGAACCAUGAAGAGAGAUUAAGAAUUCAAGGUUAACAUCAAUGAUUUAUAGUUGCGACUAAGAAGACUGGACUAUGCAUGACUUCUUGGCCCAAUCAUCCUGCCAUGAUCUAGGUAUUCCUUGGAAACAACAGUGUUUGUCCUAGGCUGGUUUAUCUUCUUGUGAGACCUGGAUUUGGCUUAUCAUAAGAAGGCUGGCGCCAUGAAUUUGUUGGUAAAUAAUUAUGCUUAAUCCUUGAUUGUAUAUUUUAAACUGAUAUAUAAUGGUCUCUCGCAAACUUAUUGAUUCUUUCGUCUUUUCAUGUUGUGCUAUAUAUUCAAUUGAAGAUACGAGUCUCGGGGUUUCUAUCAAUUGUGCUUUAUCUUUUGAAUGUCGACUGUGAUCAAUACAUCUACGAUAGCAAAAAUCUAAGAGAAUAAAUGUGUUUCGUGGUGGCUUCUAAGUUGGGAAAGAAGAUUUGUUAUGAUCACUACCCUCAAAGAUUCGAUGGGAUCGGUAGACACGACAGAUACAGUAAUGGCAGCGUUGUAUUUUACGAUGUAAGUACACAAAACUUUGAUCACCAGAUUCACCACCUUCCUUAUCUUGAGUCAUAACCUAAGUCUUAGUAAUCUUAAUUGCUUCCUUAUCUUGAGUCAUAACCUAUGUUUUAGUAAUCUUAAUUGCACUCCCACUGCGGCACUGUUUUUUUUUGCUACCAUUAGCUUCAUUGAAAGCAAAAAGAACAAUAGCAUCGGUGCUGGAGCUUCGUACAAGCCACAUAAGUGAUUUUUUAACGAGGUAUUAUAAAGACCCAACUAUGUUUUUACCGGCCAGCUUACCUUAAUUACUAAUAUACUAUUUGAAGCACUUGAAAGUUGAGCCUACAUAUCCAAAACAAGGCUUUCUUGAUUUUUGUUAUCCCCCACGACAAAGAGACAUUUCUUACGAAACUCGGACUUACAGCUCGGGCUUGCAUCUCUUGAAAAAGUGUUUCUGAACAUCGCUAGACGGGCUAAACUAGAAAGUGCAACCGCUGCAAGAACCAUGGUCACCCACGAUUUAGAAUCUGGCAUCUCACUUAAAAGGAAAUCCAAUAGCAGAUAUAAAUAUAAAAUGCAACAGAUGAGGAAUUCCACUAAAUUAUAUGAUCAUUGUAAAUAUAGAUAUGGAUACGGUGGGAGCCAGAUUUGGUGGGAUCCUUGACACCAAACGCAGAAAAUUCAAUUGGAGUAAUGAUUGAAGUUUACUGGCAACAAGAUGGGUCGGGGUAGAUGGCAAUAGUCCACAUCUUUUUUUUUGGUAGAAAUGUUAAAUAUUAUAGUUCACAUCUUCACAUUGAGUUUUGUGAUUGUUCAAUGUGACAAAAAUAUCGCAAUGUAUAUACAUGUUACAGACACAAGUUCGUGACUGACCUUUUUAUGAUAGGUUUUGUCUUUCUCAACAGUUAUAUGAACCUA